rnacentral:rRNA from 1 species
UACAGAGACUGCGAGCGUUAUUCGGAUUCACUGGGCGUAAAGGGUGCGCAGGUGGUCGGGUAAGUCUGACGUGAAAUCCCGCAGCUUAACUGCGGAAUGGCAUUGGAUACUAUUCGGCUAGAGGGUUGGAGGGGGGACUGGAAUUCUCGGUGUAGCAGUGAAAUGCGUAGAUAUCGAGAGGAACACCAGUGGCGAAGGCGAGUCCCUGGACAACUCCUGACGCUGAGGCACGAAAGCUAGGGGAGCAAACAGG